GAACGAUUGAACGACUGAAACGACGAAUCAGUGUUCACAGUCGGCAUCCAACUUUCCAACUAGAAGCAGCAGCGUUAACGAUAGUCUUUGCGCGGUUAAAAGCCACGAGGUCGUUCAUUUAAAAACUACCUAACCAAAACUUACCCCACUGCCCUCCCACAAAAGCCACGACCGAUCAUGCGUUUGGCAAAAAAGAAAAUAGAAAAAAAGUGAAAGAAUUGUGCGCCAUCAGAAACAUGUGAAAAAAGUGUCCCCACCAAAAAAACAAAAUUCGAAUAAACUAAAGCGUAAAAAGAACGCGUUCCGUAAAGCGUAGCCUUAAGCAAAACCGCCGCCCAACAAAAUACCCAAAACUGAGCAAAAAGUUAUGCCUAUUCAAAACCUGUAGGGAUCUGAUAAUAAUCCAUAUAAAACGUCAAGAAAGCACAAGUUUUGCUCAAAACAACAACCUCAUCAACUAUAACCAGAAAUACCCCAUAAAAAACCCCAUUAAAAGUGCAAAAAUACAAAGUAAAACAGUGCCAAUUAACAGCAACUAAAAAACAUAAAUAAAUCGUCAUCGGCAGCAGACAUAAUAACUAUUAUCUACAAAAUAUCACAGUCAACAAGGAGCAACAGUUUGCUGAAUAAUUUCCACAACCAUUUGGCACUUUUUUGGCGGUGACCAAAAGCACAUCUUGAAGCGAAGGCUUUGCGUGUGUGUGUGCGAGUUUUUUUUCGGGCUGGCGAGGAGUGCUUGAAAAAUCUGCAAAGCUGCAACUCCACAACGAACAGUGGUACCACCCAAUGAUGGACGGCUUCGCGCAGGACUGGCCAACGCUGACCCACACAGACAAUGGCCUGGCCAUGGACCAGCUGAGCGGGGUGGUGGGUGGCGGCGACCUGCCCGGCGACGUGGGCUUCGAGCCACAGACACGUGCCAGAUCCAACACAUGGCCCUGUCCACGGCCCGAGAACUUUGUGGAGCCGGCCGACGAAUUGGACAGUACAAAGGCCAGCAAUCAGCAAUUGGCAGCAGGAGACUCACAGCAGGCUAUACAGAAUGCGAAUGCAGCCAAAAAGAAUUCAUCGCGUCGCAAUGCAUGGGGAAACCUAUCCUAUGCGGAUCUCAUCACGCAUGCCAUUGGCUCCGCCACCGAUAAGCGUUUGACCCUCAGUCAGAUCUACGAGUGGAUGGUCCAGAAUGUGCCAUACUUUAAGGAUAAAGGCGAUUCGAAUAGCAGUGCCGGAUGGAAGAACUCUAUACGGCACAAUCUGUCGCUGCACAAUCGGUUCAUGCGCGUCCAGAACGAGGGCACCGGCAAGUCCUCCUGGUGGAUGCUCAAUCCGGAGGCCAAGCCGGGCAAGUCGGUGCGUCGCCGUGCCGCCUCCAUGGAGACGUCGCGCUACGAGAAGCGUCGCGGUCGGGCCAAGAAGCGGGUGGAGGCCCUGCGGCAGGCGGGCGUGGUGGGACUCAACGAUGCCACACCCUCGCCGAGCAGCAGUGUCAGCGAGGGGCUGGAUCACUUUCCGGAGAGUCCGCUGCACAGCGGCGGCGGGUUCCAAUUGUCGCCUGAUUUCCGUCAGCGCGCCUCAUCCAAUGCCAGUUCCUGCGGACGCCUCAGUCCCAUACGAGCCCAGGAUCUCGAGCCCCAGGAUCUCUGGGGCUUCCCGGUUGACUACCAGAAUACGACGAUGACACAGGCCCAUGCCCAGGCCCUCGAGGAGCUCACGGGCUCCAUGGCGGACGAGCUGACGCUGUGCAACCAACAGCAGCAACAGCAACAACAGCAGCAGCAACAACAACAGCAACAGCAGCAGCAGCAAGGGUUUAGCGCCGCCUCGGGCCUACCAUCGCAGCCGCCGCCGCCGCCCUACCAGCCCCCGCAGCUCCAGCAGCAACAACAGCAGCAGCCAUCCUACUCGCUGAACGGCCCCGCCCCCGGCGGCUACCAGACGCUGCAGCCACAGUCACAGUCCCAGUGCCUGCUGCACCGAUCACUCAACUGCAGCUGCCUGCACAAUGCGCGGGACGGUCUCUCGCCCAAUUCAGUCACCACAACAAUGUCGCCCGCGUAUCCCAACAGCGAGCCCUCGUCGGAUUCGCUCAACACCUACAGCAAUGUGGUGCUCGAUGGCUCCUCGGAUCUGCUCGUGCAACAGCAACAGCAGCAGCUACAACAGCAACAGGUGAAAGUGGAAUUUGAAGAUAAUAACUGCGCCUCUACUUUGAUAGGACAAUGCCUGGAGGUGCUCAACAAUGAGGCGCAGCCGAUAGACGAAUUUAAUUUGGAGAACUUUCCCGUGGGGAACCUGGAAUGCAACGUAGAGGAGCUGCUGCAGCAGGAGAUGAGCUACGAUGGCCUGCUGGACAUCAAUAUACCCUUGGCCAAUGUCAGCACGAAUGCUCCGCUGGUGAGCCUGGUGAACAAUAGUACAACGCUGAGCAGCAGCAGCAGCAACCUGAGCGGCUCCACCACCACCUUGUCCAGCAGCAGUCUCAGUGCCGCCGUGCAGCUGAAUCAGUUGCAGGCACAGCUGCAACAGCAACAGCAGCAGCAGCAACAGCAUCUCCAACAGCAGCAGCAGCAGCAGCACCAUCAGCACCAGCAACAGUUGCUGCUGAACAAUAAUAACAACAACAAUAAUAAUAACAGCAGCAACAGCAGCCUUGAUUUGGCCACUCAGACGGCAGCCACAAAUCUGAAUGCCGCAAGGGUACAGUACUCGCAGCCCAGUGUGGUGACAUCGCCGCCCUCAUGGGUGCAUUAGGAUCCAGUCGAUCGCUACCAUCGAUAGAGAUGAUCCAUGUAUGUGUUGUGUGUAUGUAAUGUCUGUGUGUGUGUGCGUGUGUGAGUGUGUGUGUUUGGAACGCCAAUGGAACGCUUUAAAACGCUAAUUCUAAGGACAAUAGUGUAAAGUUUUAUAAGCAGCCGCAGAUGGGAAACGGAUACGGAACUGGUUACGGAGCAGCUGCAGGAUCAGUGAGCAGUAAGCAAGGAGAAGAAAGCAGGAUCUAGGAUGCAGGAAGGAGGAAGAUACGAGCAGGAGUCGCCGCAGCUGGACCGCCACUAAAAAGUUUACAAAGAUAAAUCUGGUCGCUUCUUAUCUAACAUACAUACAGUACAUAUACAUAGAUAUAUAAUUACAAAAAUAUAUACGAGUAUAUAUGCAUUACACAUAGAAACGCGAAGCAUACAAAUAAUACCAAUAAUAACCAAUAAUUAGAUGCUACAAUUAGUGAAAUUCUCUGCUGCAAAGGAGGUACGAAAAUGGAAAGGCAACGGAAAUGGGAAAAACAACUUCCCUGAGCGCCUUGAGAGCCGGUGAAAAGUCAGCGCUAAUGAUGGGAAAACUAAAAACUGAAGAAAUUGAAUUGAAAAUAUGGUUAGUCAAUAAGUUGAACUUUGUACAUAUUAAUUUUAAUAACCUUGACGUAAUGCAACCAACAAACUAUAAUAAUAAUUAUAAACAAACGUAAAACGUACACUAAAUGUUCGAUAAAACUACGACUAAAAAAAAAGGAAAAUAUUCAUCAAGAAAACAACAGACAGGAAAUGCUAUACAAAAAGAGGAUAGGAUGGAAGAAAACAAGAAGCAUAAACAGAAAAUAGAAACCGAAAGAAAUUAGCACAAUUAUGUAAUAAUUUAUGCUUAAUUAAUGUAUUUAAUUGAAAAUCUAAUUGUAAUUGUAUAUUUUUUCUAGAGAGAGACAGCAAACGAAACCCUUAAUGAAAGAAACUUGUGUAAAAAUUAUGCUUAAGACUCGCAAUGGAAUACGUAAAAUGUUCUCUGGUUAGUAGUUAGUAGCUCUACCAUAACCUACGCCUCCCCCGAAAUGCGCUAUUCACCUUUUGUUAUAUGAAUAUACACCUGUUUGUGUAUCUGUAGAUCGUACGCGCUAAUAAACGGGCAAAACGAAACGAAACACAACCACUAAACAAAACCCACAGAGCCCAUUGAAUGUAAUUCACGAAAUUUCAAAUAUUAGUAAAUGUAUGUAAAUGUUGCCUGGCAAAAAAGUAGCAGAAACUCAAGCAAAUCACACACUAUCCAAAAAAUAGAAGCGAAUGCAAAAGCUGAAAAUAUUAAACACAUACUUGCGCCUCAUUGUGUACUAUUAUGGGCUAAAUGUUAAUUAAUAACUAGAUUGUACAAUUCAAAUGUAGUUCAUACUAUUUAAAACAAAUGCAAAAACGGAGUGAAGAUGAAUAAAUCGAUGAUUCAAUUUAA